GAUUGGUGAAGUUCUAGUUAUGUCUGCAGUGCUAAAUAUUACAUACACCAAAUAUUUACAUUUUAAAAAGACAUAACCUUUUUUAUUGUCUGGUAUUAAAUCUGAUUAAGCUUUAUCUGUUGAAGGCUAAAUAGGAUGACUGAAAUUAACAGGUCGAUCUCUAUAACAAAGGGACAGUUGGUGUUACAAUAAUGUUUGAUGUUGAUACUAUUAUAGUUUCGGACUCUUCUCUGGUUCUGUUGGAUCCAUGUGAUGGUGCCACCUGCUGCUGGUUUAAGGCAUCGUCUUUGGUUACAGUGUUUAGGAAUGCUGCUGGUGUAACUGGCUGAGACGUGGUGCAUUUACCACCUGUCCCACCAUGUCACAUCUUUAACUGGCCCCUUACCACCAGUAGCUAAGCACUGUGUAGCUAACUCAGCUGAAUUGGUUUCAGCAAUUCAGGGUUCUGAUCUCAAACUUUUCCAACAAUAUUACGUCACAGGAAAACAUUAUAUAUAUAAAAAUAACAGAUUUUCAAUUAAUUGUCGAUUAAUAGUUUAUUAGAUUGAAAUGAAAUCAGAUCGAUUAACUGAUAACGUCCGUUUAGACCUGCUUUUAAUGUCGUAGUUUGGACGCCAUCCAGCAGAGGGCGCCGCUGGGCAUCCAUAAGCAUCAACAAAGAUGGCGGAUAACAGGAAAGAUAAAAUAGGGUCCGGUAUGGGAUUCAAGAUGUUCUUUAUGCGGUGCGUUUUGAAAUAUAAGUUUAAUAUUUAAGUUUCAUGUUAGUAGCGCUCAUUUAGAUGAGCUGCGUGACGGAGUAGCGUCAAGUUUAUCAACCAAAAAUUAAAGAUGUGCCGUGAAGGGGAGGAUGUGACGGCAGAAAAGCGGUUUCUACCAAAGAAAAACUGACAUGAUGGGGGGAAAAACAUGAUGAUUUUGAGGGCCGGCAUGAGUUAAUUCACUUUAUGAAGCAAUUUUUUAACAUUCUCUCUGUUUCACAUAUUAUUUUGUGAUAUUUUUUCACAUAUUAUUUAAUAUUUUAUUUUUUCUGUUUAGCAACCUAAGGUUAACAUUUUGUUAGAUUUUAUAUAAAAUAAUAAUGAUACCAUUUGUGUUUUUUUUGUUUUUUUUUUAAAUUUAGCAUAUGAAAAAUGUAGCCCCUCGUGUUUUGGAAAGAUGAUCGUCCAUCUUGAUUUUUAGGAAAGUGACCGCUUAUCAAGUUAUCCUUAGUCAGUCGAUAAGAUCAAUCAAAUCUAGAUUAACUCAAUAAUCAAUCAAUUCUAUUCCAUAUUAAUAUUUCUGAUUAGAUCAUUCUAAACUUCUUAGCAUUUAGUUCCCACAGCAGCAGUCACUGGCAUCUCAAAAAGAGCUCAUUGUAAAUAAAUCCAUCGAUUAGAGGAGUAGUAAUCUGGGGUUGACCAGUGGUCUUGUGUUUGGGUACACCAGCUUUUUGGCUCCUUGGGGGUUGGGUGCUCACAUAAAGCAGCUUUGUGCCGUACGAACUUGAGCCACAAGUACCAGCUGGCAAGCUGUUACGCAAUCACAACAGAAACGUAAAGUAAAAGCUGCGUAUGGACACACUGUCACACCCACGCUUCGCUUCCAGCCCCGGGCGCUUCAUUCUGACUCCACCAGUCCCACACACAAGCACGCAGUAACACCCUCCUCCAGAUUGAACGCGAUGCAGUAUGAGGACAAGAUGGUUGCAAUAUGAGGCAGAGGGAGAUUAGAACUGUCCCGGAUUGACAGGCGGGCUUAUGUCAGUGACCUCGUUUUGCUGCUUGCUUGUCACAGAUGUGCUGGUCCUGAUGCAGAGGCUGCAAGAUGUCAGGCUGAGGAGGGCGUGAACUCAACGGAGGUUCCUGUAAAUUAUCUGGAUGUUGUGUUCUUGUGAGAUUUGCUUACUUGUGUUCAAACUGACAGCAGGAGGUCUUGGUUAGUCAGCAUGAAAAAAUGCUUGUGCUGGGUUUGUGACGUAACGUCUCCUGCUUGGUGCCUUUGUAAAUUACAUGGUUGAAAGCGGAGGGAGUGACAUAUGACUGCGAUGAGAAACUUAUUACUUACAGAGUUUUUUUGGCUCUGUUUUAGCAACUGGAAGGAAAGCUUAAUCUUUAAGAGUGUUAAUUUGUUCCAGUUUGAACAAAUACAAUGCAUUGUUAAGGUAUUUUUACUCACUGACAUUUUAGUGUUGAUCAACUACCAACUUUAAAUUUUAUUGGGAUUGGUUCUAAAGAAAAUUAUUCAAUAAAAGAUGCAGACAAGUGCAGAACAGGUUUAUCUGAUUUGUUUGCCUUUAUUAGAGAGUGUCAAGAAGAAGCCCCAUAUGGAGGCCAUGCAAAGACCCAAGACUUAGACCUGAACAUUCAGAGCCAAAUAAAGACAGUUACAAAGUCGGCCUUUGUAACUGUCGACUUUAAAAAGGACUAGAAAUGUUCUAGUCCUAAAUCCUAGAACAUUUCCAGGAUUAAAGGACUAAUGUCCCAACAAGUUCUAGAGGAACUCAUUCAUGUGCCUCUAAUCUGGAACAAACUUCCAGAAAACUGCAAACAUGCUGAAACACCGAGUUCCUUUGAAUCAACGCCACAAAAAUUGUCCUUCAAUUAACAACAAGUGGAAAAUCA